ensembl:snoRNA
GCUGAUGUGAUGAGCUCAUCUUUAGUCGGAUACCCCUUCACUCCACUCAUGAGUGAAACGCGCUGCCUGACCAGC